GAACAUGGCUUACUGAUCUGAUGAAACUAGCACCCCUUCUGAUCCUAGGGCAUCUCGUCUCAGGCCAAAACAAAUCAGUGGCUGCCUCAGGAUGGCUGGGAGGCGCAGGAAGUAGAGAUUGCAAAGGAGUGUUACAAGGAAACUUGGAGGUAUCAGGGAUUGAACUCAGGACCUUGCACUUGUGAGAGAGCAAUACUGAGGCCCAGAGAAGGGAAGAGACUGUCAGUAGAGUGUCAUUGGGCUGAAUCCACACAAAACAAGCAUGUGGGACAGCGAGCUGAGGGUGUCCAGGGCUUUUCUAAUGCCUGAGGAUCACUUUUGAGCUGCCAGGACCAGAACUUCAGAAGGUGCCCCAUUCCUGCUACCUACCGUCUACUGCUAGGAGG
rnacentral:lncRNA from 1 species